UACGUAGGGGGCAAGCGUUAUCCGGAAUUACUGGGUGUAAAGGGAGCGUAGACGGUAAUGUAAGUCCGGAGUGAAAGGCGGGGGCCCAACCCCCGGACUGCUCUGGAAACUAUGUUACUAGAGUGCAGGAGAGGUAAGCGGAAUUCCUAGUGUAGCGGUGAAAUGCGUAGAUAUUAGGAGGAACACCAGUGGCGAAGGCGGCUUACUGGACUGUAACUGACGUUGAGGCUCGAAAGCGUGGGGAGCAAACAGG
rnacentral:rRNA from 1 species